AAUAACAAGAGAAGUUAUGGUAUUUAUUUCCUGGGAAAUAAAUUUAAAAGGGAAAGAGGUUAAAAGCCUCUACAGCCCCCGCUACUGUAAAGGGUGACGAAUUCUAAUGAUCCACUGGGUUUACUGGGAAGGAAGAAGGAGGAUGAACCCUAAGUCAGGAGACCUGCCUAAUUUUUUAUAGCUAA
rnacentral:ncRNA from 2 species